CGGCAUCAGCUCAGAUUUGAAAUCCGGCUUCGGCCCGAGUUGUAAUCUGCAGAGGCACAUUCGGCGGUGGCGCCGGUCCAAGUCUUCUGGAACGGAGCGUCGCAGAGGGUGAGAAUCCCGUACGCGGCCGGCAGCCUACGCCAUGUGAAUGUCCUUCGAC
rnacentral:rRNA from 1 species